rnacentral:lncRNA from 1 species
CCUAAAUUGAUUUAAGGCGUGGUCUGCACAUAGAUUUUUGUACCAGUAUAAUUAUGACUGCAAGGGCAUGGUGUCUUUAAUGCAUUGUGUGGUCACCAGCUGGUGUGACUUGGCAUGAGCGCCGUUCUGCCAGCACAGUGGCACGUGUGUGUGGUACAGGUUAUUCCUGCUCCUGUGCAGGCAUUAGCAGUCACUUGCAUCUUUCGAGUGUUCAGCUGGCACAGGUGUUACAGGCUUGCCAGACAUCUGCUUUCCAGCUGUCCAAAUGAGCAUCCUACAGAACCCCUGCAAAUCUGAGCUCUCCAGUUCAUAGCACCCCAACACUACUGAGCCCUGCAGUGACUCCCACAAGACAUGAAGGACUGGCAGUAAAGCUGUGUGCUUUGGGACACAGGCAUCCUGUUCAGCCUGAGUGAAAAACUUGAGCUUUUAAAAACAGGCCCAGUGUGAGUGACUUCCAACAGUGUUUCUCUUACAAGUGUCCUCUGUUAGCAGGGACAAAUGUGCCAAAUGAGGUGUUAUGAAACAAUGCGGUGUAGAAAGGGUCAUUCCAAUAGUUUGCCCAUUACUCUGAGAUCUGGGAGAUGUAAAUUAACUUUUCUG